rnacentral:rRNA from 1 species
GAUGAACGCUGGCGGCGUGCCUAAUACAUGCAAGUCGAGCGAACAGACGAGGAGCUUGCUCCUCUGACGUUAGCGGCGGACGGGUGAGUAACACGUGGAUAACCUACCUAUAAGACUGGGAUAACUUCGGGACACCGGAGCUAAUACCGGAUAAUAUAUUGAACCGCAUGGUUCAAUAGUGAAAGACGGUUUUGCUGUCACUUAUAGAUGGAUCCGCGCCGCAUUAGCUAGUUGGUAAGGUAACGGCUUACCAAGGCGACGAUGCGUAGCCGACCUGAGAGGGUGAUCGGCCACACGGGAACUGAGACACGGUCCAGACGCCUAAGGGAGGCAGCAGUAGGGAAUCUUCCGCAAUGGGCGAAAGCCUGACGGAGCAACGCCGCGUGAGUGAUGAAGGUCUUCGGAUCGUAAAACUCUGUUAUUAGGGAAGAACAAAUGUGUAAGUAACUAUGCACGUCUUGACGGUACCUAAUCAGAAAGCCACGGCUAACUACGUG